AUGAGACUCUUGCUUCCCUUUGAAAGAGGCAGACCCCUACUUCAAUUGUCAUCUGACGACUCUUCCCCAGCUGUGGACUCAGACCUCUCAAAAAAAAGAAAAUCAAAAUCAAACGAAUCAGAAUAUAACCAAUCUAUCGCCUUUGAUGACUCGUUGACAGCCUCCUCAACCCAAGCUUCCAUCUCCUGCUCUAGACAUCGGCGCUUGCCUGCACCAUUCCAUGAAAGGUGUAUGAAAGUGAGUUUGACUACGAACUCAAGGAUGCUGGGAACGAUAUCUUUUCGGGAAAUCACUCCCGUCGAGAGGCCCUCUUCCUCCCUUUUCUUGAAUCUGGGAGAGAGGCAAAAGAGAAGUCCAGAGAUACCUCGACCCUUUUAGGGAAAGGAGGGAGAUCGAAUGCGAGAUGGAGUCCCUGCCGAAUGGAAUGGACGUCCUUGGGGACAAUUGUGUAAGAUUUAAUUUACCAUAAAAUUGGACAGAAAAACUACUACAAAGAUCAUAAGAAACCCGGCUCAAAGUGAAUGGAGAGAGAACCCCUGCGCCUUGGAAGGAUCUGAAGCUGUUCAGACACUCAUAGACAAGUGA
rnacentral:rRNA from 1 species